rnacentral:lncRNA from 1 species
CAUUUAUACACCAUGGAGUAUUACGCAGCACUAAAAAAUGACAAAAUCAUAGAAUUUGCAGGGAAAUGGAUGGCACUAGAGCAGAUUAUGCUUAGUGAAGCUAGCCAAUCCCUAAAAAAACAAAUACCAAAUGUCUUCUUUGAUAUAAUGAGAGCAACUAAGAACAGAGCAGGGAGGAAGAGCAGGAAGAAAAGAUUAACAUUAAACAGAGACA